AACGAACGCUGGCGGCAUGCCUAACACAUGCAAGUCGAACGAGACCUUCGGGUCUAGUGGCGCACGGGUGCGUAACGCGUGGGAAUCUGCCCUUGGGUUCGGGAAUAACAGUGAGAAAUUACUGCUAAUACCGUGAUGAUGACGAAAGUCCAAAGAUUUAUCGCCCAAGGAUGAGCCCGCGUAGGAUUAGCUAGUUGGUA
rnacentral:rRNA from 1 species